ensembl:lncRNA novel transcript
UUCUGUUUUUUUUUCUCUCCCACCCAUCCUUAUUGCCAACCACCCCUUAGUUGAUAAGUGGAGAAAGGAAGAGGGUUAUGAAGAUUUCAGGUCACUGCAGAUGAAACAUACAAAGACAAACCCAGGGCUUCCCAUAUUAUAUUGAAUAUAGAGAAUGCCUUAGGGGAACUCUAAGAAGCUUGAAGUCAUUUUCCCUUUAGAAAUCAUAAAGAGGUCAGUGAUUUAUAAUUCAGAAGAACAAUGGACAGGAAAAGUUCUCUACCUGCCCGUGCAAGCAACGACUGUCUUGCGAGGCUUUCUAAUGUAGUCAGAGCUUCAAGAUGCUCAAUGUUUGAGAAUGAGGAAAUAAAUGAAUGAACGAGAAGGAAAUUUUCCUGAAUGCAUUCAGUUUAUUCCAGACAGACUUUGUUCAACACUCCGCUGUGAAUCAGAACAAGACCUCAGUCAAGCUGUGGACUACAUAACAUGACAUAGGCUAUGAAGAAAAGUGUGAGUUAUCAUUACUGGAAAGAACAAGAUUUUUAUGUAUUCAUAAACCAUCAAACAACUCCAAGAAAGCAGCAAAAGAAACUUCUGUCUUAAAUAGAGUGGAUAGCUGACUAUAAUAGAAGACAAUUCUACAAUCCACAGUACAAGACAAGUUCUCAUGACUAUUAAAAAUCUGUAUAGAUCCCAAGAGACUCCAAAUAGAAGCAGGCCAGACAUCAUGGCAUCCAUGCAAAAUUAGACUGAGGGAUUGAAGACAAAGGCGCUAGAAUGCUGGAGAGGCACUUUUGCAGAAAUGCUGGUGAGAAGCACCAAAUGCUACCCUCCCAUCUCCCCAGCUGCUUUCAUUUCUCUGGAGCUGAAACAAAGGUUCAAGCGAUUCUCCUGCCUCAGCCUCCUGAGUAGCUGGGACUACAGGCACCUGCCACCACGCAGAGCUAGAGCUUUGCUACUGCUUUUCGGGGCCAGCCUUUCUGAACCAGAAAAAAAGGUAUAUGGGUACCAACACGAGGUCUAACUAGGAGUCAGGAAAGUUAAAAGAGAAGUUUGAAGAUAAAUCAUUCUGGUGGCACGAGGACGUUAUCGAUAAAGAUGCUUUGGUCUGGAAAGAGUAUAUUAAGCCACUUCUGUCAUGCAGCGAGGAAUUAAUAAACAGUUUUCAUGCCUAUA